GCUGUAACAUCUGGCUGUGGGUCUCUGCAUUUGUUUUCAUCUGGAGGUGCAGAAAGCCUCUUGGAUGUCUGGUGACUGGAUAAGGCACUGAUCUAUGAUUAUAGCAGAAUAUCUUUAGGGCCCUGAAGUCCCAUCAUAGUAGCUUUGGAGACUGUCUAGGGAAGCUCCUCUGAGUAUGCCAUUCAGUAUGUCCAAGAGUGGAGCCUAGUCCUUUCUGCAGUCAUGCUUUUAUUACUUCUGAGACUCUGUGGCUGAAUCCUGAGACUCAAGCUGGCCAAAGGACCUCUGGGAAAACCGGGUAGUGUCUGAUAUGAAAUCUCAUUUCCACUACCACAUUUUCUGUCUGUUAAUUUUUCAAAGAGAGCCUCACUCAGAUGAUGAAGCCUGCUUGAUUUGGGGGUGAUGAGUAAUCUGGCCACAGCCCCUGUGACGACAAGUCUGUGAGGUUUUGGAGCAGCACUGUGCACCACAUUCAAAUCAGAACACUCAGGUUUCCUUCACAAUAUCAAUGUGGUAGCGGCUGGAAAGAAAUAUUCUAAAAUU
rnacentral:lncRNA from 1 species